rnacentral:rRNA from 1 species
UACGGAGGGGGCUAGCGUUGUUCGGAAUUACUGGGCGUAAAGCGCACGUAGGCGGACUGGAAAGUCAGGGGUGAGAUCCCGGGGCUCAACCCCGGAACUGCCUUUGAAACUCCCGGUCUUGAGGUCGAGAGAGGUGAGUGGAAUUCCGAGUGUAGAGGUGAAAUUCGUAGAUAUUCGGAGGAACACCAGUGGCGAAGGCGGCUCACUGGCUCGAUACUGACGCUGAGGUGCGAAAGCGUGGGGAGUAAACAGU